CGGACCUACGGGAGGCAGCAGUCGAGAAUCAUUCACAAUGGGGGAAACCCUGAUGGUGCGACGCCCCGUGGGGGAAUGAAGGACAUCGGAUUGUAAACCCCUGUCAUGUGGGAGCAAAUUAAAAAGAUAGUACCACAAGAGGAAGAGACGGCUAACUCUGUGCCAGCAGCCGCGGUAAUACAGAGGUCUCAAGCGUUGUUCGGAAUCACUGGGCGUAAAGCGUGCGUAGGCUGUUUCGUAAGUCGUGUGUGAAAGGCGCGGGCUCAACCGGCGGACGGCACAUGAUACUGCUAGACUAGCGGAAU
rnacentral:rRNA from 1 species